UAUGAACGCUGGCGGCGUGCCUAAUACAUGCAAGUCGAGCGAACAGACGAGGAGCUUGCUCCUCUGACGUUAGCGGCGGACGGGUGAGUAACACGUGGAUAACCUACCUAUAAGACUGGGAUAACUUCGGGAAACCGGAGCUAAUACCGGAUAAUAUAUUGAACCGCAUGGUUCAAUAGUGAAAGACGGUUUUGCUGUCACUUAUAGAUGGAUCCGCGCCGCAUUAGCUAGUUGGUAAGGUAACGGCUUACCAAGGCAACGAUGCGUAGCCGACCUGAGAGGGUGAUCGGCCACACUGGAACUGAGACACGGUCCAGACGCCUACGGGAGGCAGCAGUAGGGAAUCUUCCGCAAUGGGCGAAAGCCUGACGGAGCAACGCCGCGUGAGUGAUGAAGGUCUUCGGAUCGUAAAACUCUGUUAUUAGGGAAGAACAAAUGUGUAAGUAACGAUGCACGUCUUGACGGUACCUAAUCAGAAAGCCACGGCUAACUACGU
rnacentral:rRNA from 1 species